rnacentral:rRNA from 1 species
AUUGAACGCUGGCGGCAUGCCUUACACAUGCAAGUCGAACGGCAGCAUGAUCUAGCUUGCUAGAUUGAUGGCGAGUGGCGAACGGGUGAGUAAUACAUCGGAACGUGCCCUGUAGUGGGGGAUAACUAGUCGAAAGAUUAGCUAAUACCGCAUACGACCUGAGGGUGAAAGUGGGGGACCGCAAGGCCUCAUGCUAUAGGAGCGGCCGAUGUCUGAUUAGCUAGUUGGUGAGGUAAAGGCGCACCAAGGCGACGAUCAGUAGCUGGACUGAGAGGACUAUCAGCCACACUGGGACUGAGACACGGCCCAGACUCCUACGGGAGGCAGCAGUGGGGAAUUUUGGACAAUGGUGGCAACCCUGAUCCAGCAAUGCCGCGUGUGUGAAGAAGGCCUUCGGGUUGUAAAGCGCUUUUGUCCGGAAAGAAAGCGCACUUACUAAUAUUAGGUGUGGAUGACGGUACCGGAAGAAUAAGGACCGGCUAACUACGUGCCAGCAGCCGCCGUAAAAC